UGCUGUGAUGGUGUAAUUUGCGUCCUACGCUGUGCUCAGCGACAGUUUGCCUGCUGUCACACGCUGGCACAGAGGGCUGACGACCAUUGAGUCUGAGCA